rnacentral:rRNA from 1 species
UACGGGGGGGGCAAGCGUUGUUCGGAAUUACUGGGCGUAAAGGGUUCGUAGGUGGCCAACUAAGUCAGACGUGAAAUCCCUCAGCUUAACUGGGGAACUGCGUCUGAGACUGGAUGGCUUGAGUGCAGGAGAGGAACGCGGAAUUCCAGGUGUAGCGGUGAAAUGCGUAGAUAUCUGGAGGAACACCGGUGGCGAAGGCGACGUCCUGGACCGGUAUUGACGCUGAGGCGCGAAAGCCAGGGGAGCAAACGGG